UGCAGUCGAGCGGACAGAUGGGAGCUUGCUCCCUGAUGUUAGCGGCGGACGGGUGAGUAACACGUGGGUAACCUGCCUGUAAGACUGGGAUAACUCCGGGAAACCGGGGCUAAUACCGGAUGGUUGUUUGAACCGCAUGGUUCAAACAUAAAAGGUGGCUUCGGCUACCACUUACAGAUGGACCCGCGGCGCAUUAGCUAGUUGGUGAGGUAAUGGCUCACCAAGGCAACGAUGCGUAGCCGACCUGAGAGGGUGAUCGGCCACACUGGGACUGAAACACGGCCCAGACUCCUACGGGAGGCAGCAGUAGGGAAUCUUCCGCAAUGGACGAAAGUCUGACGGAGCAACGCCGCGUGAGUGAUGAAGGUUUUCGGAUCGUAAAGCUCUGUUGUUAGGGAAGAACAAGUACCGUUCGAAUAGGGCGGUACCUUGACGGUACCUAACCAGAAAGCCACGGCUAACUACGUGCCAGCAGCCGCGGUAAUACGUAGGUGGCAAGCGUUGUCCGGAAUUAUUGGGCGUAAAGGGCUCGCAGGCGGUUUCUUAAGUCUGAUGUGAAAGCCCCCGGCUCAACCGGGGAGGGUCAUUGGAAACUGGGGAACUUGAGUGCAGAAGAGGAGAGUGGAAUUCCACGUGUAGCGGUGAAAUGCGUAGAGAUGUGGAGGAACACCAGUGGCGAAGGCGACUCUCUGGUCUGUAACUGACGCUGAGGAGCGAAAGCGUGGGGAGCGAACAGGAUUAGAUACCCUGGUAGUCCACGCCGUAAACGAUGAGUGCUAAGUGUUAGGGGGUUUCCGCCCCUUAGUGCUGCAGCUAACGCAUUAAGCACUCCGCCUGGGGAGUACGGUCGCAAGACUGAAACUCAAAGGAAUUGACGGGGGCCCGCACAAGCGGUGGAGCAUGUGGUUUAAUUCGAAGCAACGCGAAGAACCUUACCAGGUCUUGACAUCCUCUGACAAUCCUAGAGAUAGGACGUCCCCUUCGGGGGCAGAGUGACAGGUGGUGCAUGGUUGUCGUCAGCUCGUGUCGUGAGAUGUUGGGUUAAGUCCCGCAACGAGCGCAACCCUUGAUCUUAGUUGCCAGCAUUCAGUUGGGCACUUUAAGGUGACUGCCGGUGACAAACCGGAGGAAGGUGGGGAUGACGUCAAAUCAUCAUGCCCCUUAUGACCUGGGCUACACACGUGCUACAAUGGACAGAACAAAGGGCAGCGAAACCGCGAGGUUAAGCCAAUCCCACAAAUCUGUUCUCAGUUCGGAUCGCAGUUUGCAACUCGACUGCGUGAAGCUGGAAUCGCUAGUAAUCGCGGAUCAGCAUGCCGCGGUGAAUACGUUCCCGGGCCUUGUACACACCGCCCGUCACACCACGAGAGUUUGUAACACCCGAAGUCGGUGAGGUAACCUUUUAGGAGCCAGCCGCCGA
rnacentral:rRNA from 1 species